UUUUCUAGUCAGAAAAAGCAGCAGCCCCCGUCCGUAGGUUGUUAAACUCAUUAGUACUCAAAGAGAGAGGAGCACAAAUCAACCGAAAAAAAACACACACAAACACUAGAAAGGUUUAAACUAGCCGAUACCCAGUAAAACGUUCUUCCCUAGAAAUUUCUUCCCCAAAAGGGAGGAAUUUAACAUCAAAGACUAAAAACAAAUAAUUUAUAAAUAUUAAAAACAUGUAAAUCCAAAGAUUUAAUCGUUUUUGCCUGCUGCUAAUCUUUUUCUGCUUGUGCAUGCCCUUUGCUGCCAUGCUUUUGCGGUUUGUGCUUUUGCAUACCGUUGUUCUUGCUGCACUCGUGUGUUGCUGAGAGAGAGAGAGUGCAUACUGAGAGAGAGGCUCGCUCAGAGAGUGGAUCGUAAGAGCGAGGCAAUGCAAGCUGCCAGCGAACGUACGCCCUGGGUGCGAGGGAGAGGAAAAAGGAAUUGCGAUACGGAGGUGCUGCCUGUCUCUCUCUCUUUCUAGUUCUGCCCAAAACUGGCAAAAGAGCGCUUAAUUAUGCGCCCCUCCAAAGACCCUCUAAAAAACAAAAAAAAACCACAAGCGUCUAAUGAGCAAACGGAAAUUGAAACUUUUUUGGCGCUGUUUAAAUAAACAUUCAACCCACAAAGUGACAUAAUUUGGCCAAAUGAGCGAAAAGAAAACCCAACCGUCGGCGAGGAAAAGAAACUCUAUACAGUUGCAGGUGCCACAGCUGCGGAGGAGAAAGAAAAGCAAAGGCAAAAGCAAACGCGGCUAAAGAAAAUAACGAACAACAAAAAAAAUUGUCGACACAGAGAUGCGUGACUAAAAUCGUUAUGACAUAAUAUACAUACGUACUAAAGCGCGUUAAAUAAAUA